rnacentral:rRNA from 1 species
AGUGAACGCUGGCGGUAGGCCUAACACAUGCAAGUCGAACGGCAGCACAGUAAGAGCUUGCUCUUACGGGUGGCGAGUGGCGGACGGGUGAGGAAUACAUCGGAAUCUACUUUUUCGUGGGGGAUAACGUAGGGAAACCUACGCUAAUACCGCAUACGACCUGCGGGUGAAAGCAGGGGAUCUUCGGACCUUGCGCGAUUGAAUGAGCCGAUGUCGGAUUAGCUAGUUGGCGGGGUAAAGGCCCACCAAGGCGACGAUCCGUAGCUGGUCUGAGAGGAUGAUCAGCCACACUGGAACUGAGACACGGUCCAGACUCCUACGGGAGGCAGCAGUGGGGAAUAUUGGACAAUGGGCGCAAGCCUGAUCCAGCCAUACCGCGUGGGUGAAGAAGGCCUUCGGGUUGUAAAGCCCUUUUGUUGGGAAAGAAAAGCAGCAGGUUAAUACCCCGCUGUUCUGACGGUACCCAAAGAAUAAGCACCGGCUAACUUCGUG